ACGCUCGACACCUACGGGGGCAGCAGUGGGGAAUAUUGCACAAUGGGGGAAACCCUGAUGCAGCGACGCCGCGUGGAGGAAGAAGGUCUUCGGAUUGUAAACUCCUGUUGUUGGGGAAAAAGAGGAUGGUACCCAACAAGGAAGUGACGGCUAACUACGUGCCAGCAGCCACGGUAAUCUGAGCGGGCUGGCAAGGC
rnacentral:rRNA from 1 species